rnacentral:rRNA from 1 species
GUAGGUAAUCUGUCCUUCGGAUCGGGAUANCCUGCUGAAAAGUGGGCUAAUACCGGACAAUGUUCUUAUGGGGAUCCUGUGAGAACCAAAGGGGGCGAGCGUAAGCAGCUUCCACCAAAGGAGGAGCCUGCGUCCGAUUAGCUAGUUGGUGGGGUAACGGCCUACCAAGGCGACGAUCGGUAGCCGGCCUGAGAGGGCGACCGGCCACACUGGAACUGAGACACGGUCCAGACUCCUACGGGAGGCAGCAGUGGGGAAUAUUGCGCAAUGGGCGAAAGCCUGACGCAGCGACGCCGCGUGGGUGAUGAAGGCCUUCGGGUCGUAAAGCCCUGUCGGGUGGAACGAAUGGCUUGGCGGCAAAUAACCGCUAGGCGUGACGGUACCACCGAAAAA